CCUACGGGAGGCAGCAGUGAGGAAUAUUGGUCAAUGGCCGCGAGGCUGAACCAGCCAAGUCGCGUGCGGGAAGAAUGUCCUAUGGAUUGUAAACCUCUUUUGUCAGGGGGCAAAGUCACCCACGUGUGGGGGUUGGUGAGUAUCUGAAGAAAAAGCAUCGGCUAACUCCGUGCCAGCAGCCGCGGUAAUACGGAGGAUGCGAGCGUUAUCCGGAUUUAUUGGGUUUAAAGGGUGCGUAGGCGGGUUAUCAAGUCAGCGGUAAAAUGGUGGAGCUCAACUCCAUCACGGCGUUGAGACUGAUGUUCUUGAGUGGGCGAGAAGUAUGCGGAAUGCGUGGUGUAGCGGUGAAAUGCAUAGAUAUCACGAAGAACUCCGAUUGCGAAGGCAGCAUACCGGCGCCCGACUGACGCUGAAGCUCGAAGGCGUGGGUAUCGAACAGGAUUAGAUACCCGGGUAGUC
rnacentral:rRNA from 1 species